GCCAACCACCCCAAAUCUUUUCUUCGAUGAGCUCCCUGGCUCCAUUUCUGGCCUUGGUGGUAAGUUUUGGCUCGGUUUCACACUCCUACCACCUUCUUUACCAGUAUCCAACCUGCAAGGAGUCACAGGUUGCACGGAUUUCGAGAUCACAUGUGGAACAACCGCCAUCUCAUUCUCGGUAGGAGUGUUUGAAUCAUUGUCCGACUUGGGGAUAUCUGACGCGUUGUUGUGCUCUGUUACCGUCUCUAUCAUUGAAUUUGGCUCCUCGUCCAAGGCAGAACCUGACUCCCCUCGUGUUAAGUCGAUAUUCUCAGGC
rnacentral:misc_RNA from 1 species